CCCAAAGCCCUCCCUCCUCCUCUUCCCCCACCCUGCAAGCCCCAGGCUUGAAACUUGAUUUAAAAAAAAAAAUACAAGAUUGAAUUUCAGUUUGCAGGAUUAGGGAGACGACUUUUAGGGGCUGCUUGUUGGAAAAAAAGCAAAGCAAAGCAGCUGGGAGGGAUUAGGCUGAGCUGGCGUCUGCACUUUCAACUGAUUCAAUUUUGCUCCACAAGACAUUGUAUCUGAGCCUUUCUGGAGACUAUUCAAAGCAAAUCAUUUUCAUUUUACCAUUUGGAGGUGCUUUUCCUGUUAGUGAUCCCUAUAUAGCACCGGAUUUGUGCAGCAGCCCACAGACUGCGUCCCAAGCAGAGUUUAUUCCCAAGAACCUAGGAAAGAGUAAGAAGCCAUGAUGAAGUGCCAACUAGAAGGAGACCUUCCACCAAACUUCGCUCCAAUCUGUUUUGUUAUGACAAGAACAAGUGGUUUUAACAAGUAUGCCAUAAAUCAGGGGCGCGCGCUCCAGCCCGGAGCCUUCCAGGUGCCAACACUGUUUCCCUCUUGCUGAGCUCUCAUUGCCCCAUGGAAACAGAUCUGCUCAGUUUUCUCAGCAGCACCGUUUGCUGCAAACAAAAGCCUACAAGCAACUGACAGAGACUUAAUCCCAAG
ensembl:lncRNA